CUUAGUUAAAUGGUAUAACGUGGGUCUCCAAAACCUUUGUUGAGGGUUCGACUCCUUCAGG
rnacentral:tRNA from 1 species